rnacentral:lncRNA from 1 species
AUGCACUGGAAAAGAGCAUCCUCUGGAAAAAGAGGAAAAAUCAGAGUCACAGCCUAUCAGACUGGUAGCCUCUCCCCCUUCUCUCCCACCUGCAGUCUCCCAGACAAAUUCGUUUGCUACCUGAGCCCCUCUGCAGUGAGCAACCUGAGCAGAGACGAGGCUUUAAGCUUGGCCCACAGGAUCACCAAGAACUGCCCGUUGAAAGUGACACACAGAGGAAUAAACGGAGAGCGAGCUCCCUCCUUCCUGACAACAGAGGAACUGCAGGUUGCAUCUUCUUUGGUGAGCAAGUUUGAGCGUUUCACUCCUGCAAUCCUGCAUGAAUUGGGCCAGGUUGCUGUUGGGCUGUCUGUAUCCGACAUCGAAAAUAAAAUAAGUGAUGAAGACCUUGAAGCAUCUCUUCCUGCCCUGGGUGAAGUUCGUGGCUGGAAUGCUGACCAGUCCAGUGCUAUUAUCAAUAAACUGCUCCGCUCUGGCUAUCAGAUUUCAGAUGGACAGAGCCUGGCAAAGCUGGGGAGCUUGGUGGCUGGCCUCAGCAGCAGCACGCUUCGAAGUCUCCCUCCAGAAGUGAUCUUGGAAGCCAUUAAGUUGCCUGAGUUUGUCCAGCAGUUGGUGACCCUGCCCUCUGCUCUGAAAAGGACAUUUGUGGAAAUGAUUUCUUCCAGUGUAAGCAACCCUGCUGAGUUGGUUAAACGUAUCCCUGAUGCUCUGGCUAGUUACAUCCCAAAAUCAUUGCUUGUUUUUGAGGAUGAGAAGCCCAGUAUCGAAGAUCUCAACAGAAAAAUGUGGACCCGAGAACAGGUAAAAUGCUAG